rnacentral:rRNA from 1 species
CCUACGGGUGGCAGCAGUGAGGAAUAUUGGUCAAUGGGAGAGAUCCUGAACCAGCCAAGCCGCGUGAGGGAAGACGGCCCUAUGGGUUGUAAACCUCUUUUGUCGGAGAACAAAACCCGGCACGUGUCCCGUCCUGCGUGUAUCCGAAGAAAAAGCAUCGGCUAACUCCGUGCCAGCAGCCGCGGUAAUACGGAGGAUGCGAGCGUUAUCCGGAUUUAUUGGGUUUAAAGGGUGCGUAGUCUGUUGGUUAAGUUAGAGGUCAAAUGUCGGGGCUUAACCCCGUGCCUGCCUCUGAUACUGUUCGACUAGAGAGCGGAUGCAGCAGGCGGAAUGAGUAGUGUAGCGGUGAAAUGCUGAGAUAUCACUCGGAACACCGAUUGCGCAGGCAGCUUGCUAAUCCGCAACUGACGCUGAUGCACGAAAGCGUGGGUAGCGAACAGGAUUAGAUACCCCAGUAGUC